rnacentral:rRNA from 1 species
AUUGAACGCUGGCGGCAUGCCUUACACAUGCAAGUCGAACGGCAGCACGGGGGCAACCCUGGUGGCGAGUGGCGAACGGGUGAGUAAUGCAUCGGAACGUGCCCAGUAGUGGGGGAUAACCAGUCGAAAGACUGGCUAAUACCGCAUACGACCUAAGGGUGAAAGCGGGGGACCGUAAGGCCUCGCGCUAUUGGAGCGGCCGAUGUCAGAUUAGCUAGUUGGCGGGGUAAGAGCCCACCAAGGCGACGAUCAGUAGCUGGUCUGAGAGGACGACCAGCCACACUGGGACUGAGACACGGCCCAGACUCCUACGGGAGGCAGCAGUGGGGAAUUUUGGACAAUGGGCGCAAGCCUGAUCCAGCCAUGCCGCGUGCGGGAAGAAGGCCUUCGGGUUGUAAACCGCUUUUGUCAGGGAAGAAAUCUUCUGGGUUAAUACCUCGGGAGGAUGACGGUACCUGAAGAAUAAGCACCGGCUAACUACGUGCCAGCAGCCGCAGUAACAC